UUGCACGCUGGCGGCCGGCCUCACACAUGCAAGUCGCACGGUAACAGGAAGCAGCUUGCUGCUUUGCUGACGAGUGGCGGACGGGUGAGUAAUGUCUGGGAAACUGCCUGAUGGAGGGGGAUAACUACUGGAAACGGUAGCUAAUACCGCAUAACGUCGCAAGACCAAAGAGGGGGACCUUCGGGCCUCUUGCCAUCGGAUGUGCCCAGAUGGGAUUAGCUAGUAGAUGGGGUAACGGCUCACCUAGGCGACGAUCCCUAGCUGGUCUGAGAGGAUGACCAGCCACACUGGAACUGAGACACGGUCCAGACUCCUACGGGAGGCAGCAGUGGGGAAUAUUGCACAAUGGGCGCAAGCCUGAUGCAGCCAUGCCGCGUGUAUGAAGAAGGCCUUCGGGUUGUAAAGUACUUUCAGCGGGGAGGAAGGGAGUAAAGUUAAUACCUUUGCUCAUUGACGUUACCCGCAGAAGAAGCACCGGCUAACUCCGUG
rnacentral:rRNA from 1 species